rnacentral:rRNA from 1 species
UACGUAGGCAGCAAGCGUUGUUCGGAGUUACUGGGCGUAAAGGGUGUGUAGGCGGUCUACUAAGUCUGGUGUGAAAUCUCCCGGCUCAACUGGGAGGGUGCGCCGGAAACUGGAGGGCUAGAGUGCGGGAUGGGAGAGUGGAAUUCCUGGUGUAGCGGUGAAAUGCGUAGAUAUCAGGAGGAACACCUGUGGUGUAGACGGCUCUCUGGACCGCAACUGACGCUGAGACACGAAAGCGUGGGUAGCAAACAGG